CAGAAAGGUAUUGGACAACUAAAGCUCACCAAAAGUUGUGGGCAUGGAAAGCAAGAGAAACAGGAAAAUACAUCUCCAGAAGGCCACACCAUGCGGCAUGUGGGAUCUUAGUUCCCUGACCAGGGAUCGAACCUGGGUCCCCUGCAGUGGGAGCACAGAGCCUUAACCACUGGACCGCCAGUGAAACCCCUGGCAGGAAGCAAGAGGAAGCUCACCUGCCUCAACUGCUAGAGGGGGCCUCUGUGCAUGCCAUGCGUAAUAAAGGUAAUAAAAAGGUAAGUUUAUAAAGAAGAAAGAGACGCGUCAAGGACGGAAGGCUCUUUAUUUGCUCUCCUGUCGUGGAAUUCUUCUCAAUCCACUGGUAUUUCAACACAGAAGGGGCGACAGUGUCCCCAGUGUUGUCAUAGUUUUUUUUAUUUUAUUUUAUUUUUAUGGCAAUCCACCCAUC